AUUGUACUUAGGUCAUCUUCUACAUACAAUUAAAGUAUUAAUUUAUAAAUAUGAAUUACUGACAAGUGAUCAAACAGUUUCUAAUUAUUUGAAACCUCUGGUGACUGCUAUACUUAAUGGUAUGAAAACAAGGUUUGCUGAUUAUUUGGUAGACAAAUUUUUAAUUACUGCUGCAGUCUUCCACCCACUAUUUAAAAAAGCAUGGAUUACAAAUGAUAUAAAAAUGCAGUUGGCCUCAAAAUAUUUAAAAAGUGCCUGUUAUGACUUGCAUACCAGUGAUAAUGACAAUAAUGAUGUAGAAGGUAACCAAAUGAAGAUAAUUUAUAUACCUUUUUUACCGGGUCACAAAAUUCCUGAGAGGAAAAAUCAACAGUUAGUGAUGAAAUAGAUAGAUAUUUGGGCACAUCUCCAACUAAGACUUUAGAAUGUUUGCAUAAUUUACCCACUAUCAAAAAAGUACCUUGUGAAGUACAAUACUCAACUACCUAGCAGUGCAUCAGUAGAGAGUGUUUAGUGUUCUUGGUGCAACAAUUACAAAAAAAAGAACAAAUAUGACGGAUCAGCAUUUUGAACAAAUAAUGUUCCUAAAAUAUGAUUAUUAUUUUAUCUU